GUUUGAGUAGCUCAGCUGGAUAGAGCGUCCGCCUCCUAAGCGGAAGGUCGUGGGUUCGAAUCCCAUCUCGAACA
rfam:Pseudobutyrivibrio xylanivorans DSM 14809 genome assembly, contig: EJ90DRAFT_scaffold00019.19